UACAGAGACUGCAAGCGUUAUUCGGAUUCACUGGGCGUAAAGGGUGCGCAGGCGGCCAAGUGUGUGAGGCGUGAAAGCCCGAUGCUCAACAUCGGAAUUGCACCUCAAACUACAUGGCUAGAGCAUUGGAGAGGGUAGCGGAAUUCACGGUGUAGCAGUGAAAUGCGUAGAUAUCGUGAGGAACACCAGUGGCGAAGGCGAGUCCCUGGACAACACCUGACACUGAGGCACGAAAGCGUGGGGAGCAAAAGGG
rnacentral:rRNA from 1 species